rnacentral:rRNA from 1 species
UACAGAGGUCUCAACCGUUGUUCGGAUUCAUUGGGCGUAAAGGGUGCGUAGGCGGUCGCGCAAGUCGGAUGUGAAAUCUCGGGGCUCAACCCCGAAACUGCAUUCGAUACUGCGUGGCUCGAGUACUGGAGAGGAGACUGGAAUUUACGGUGUAGCAGUGAAAUGCGUAGAUAUCUGGAGGAAUACCGGUGGCGAAGGCGGCAUCCUGGACCGGCAUUGACGCUGAGGAGCGAAAGCCAGGGGAGCAAACGGG